UACGGGGGGGGCUAGCGUUGUUCGGAAUUACUGGGCGUAAAGCGUGCGCAGGCGGUUCGUUAAGUUCGAUGUGAAAGCCCCGGGCUCAACCUGGGAACUGCAUUGGAAACUGGCGAGCUUGAAUGCGGCAGAGGGGGUAGAAUUCCACGUGUAGCAGUGAAAUGCGUAGAUAUGUGGAGGAACACCGAUGGCGAAGGCAGCCCCCUGGGCCAAUACUGACGCUCAGGCACGAAAGCGUGGGGAGCAAACAGG
rnacentral:rRNA from 1 species